UCCCUGGUGGCUCAAACGGUAAAGCAUCCCGCUUACAAUGCGGGAGACCUGGGUUCGAUCCCUGGGUCGGGAA
rfam:Ovis aries breed Texel chromosome 3, whole genome shotgun sequence.